rnacentral:misc_RNA from 1 species
CAAGCUUCGCUUGGUCAUGGGCAAUCGGGUCCGGAGGCUUUCUGCCUCGGGAUGGCGUGCCUGAAAAUCAGUGGCGGUGCCGCCCGGCUACCAGCGUAAUGAAUAUAAAUCGUUGGCUGGCUUGGGAGUUGGUGCCCGCCAGAAAAUCCUUACCACUCUAGUUUGACCUCGGAUCAGGUAGGGAUACCCGCUGAACUUAA